AUUGAACGCUGGCGGCAGGCCUAACACAUGCAAGUCGAACGAGUGGCGGACGGGUGAGUAAUGUCUGGGAAACUGCCUGAUGGAGGGGGAUAACUACUGGAAACGGUAGCUAAUACCGCAUACCAUCGGAUGUGCCCAGAGGGGAUUAUCUAGUAGGUGGGGUAACGGCUCACCUAGGCGACGAUCCCUAGCGGGUCUGAGAGGAUGACCAGCCACACUGGAACUGAUACACGGUCCAGACUCCUACGUGAGUCAGCAGUGGGGAAGUUUGCACAAGGGGCGCAAGCCGGAUGCAGCCAUGCCGCGUGUAUGAAGAAGGCCUUCGGGUUGUAAAGUACUUUCAGCGGGGAGGCGUUACCCGCAGAAGAAGCACCGGCUAACUCCGUGCCAGCAGCCGCGGUAAUAC
rnacentral:rRNA from 1 species